UCAAGAUAUGUCUCAUGACUGUUUAUUUCUAUUAGACCAAUAUAUGAAGCAAGAGAAAAAUAUUCUAUAAGUUACCAAUCAUAUAAAAUUUAUUUUCUUUGUUAAAUUAUUUGAUAUUUAAUUACUGCAUUCAUCAACGAAUAAUGUCGAUCUUGAUGAUCCUUCACACCUGUAGAGGACAACAACAUAUCUUCUUGUGCACCUCAUAUAUUGAUGCUUACUUUGGAGAAGGUUCGCAAGGCCAGAGCCGCUCUUUGUGAUUGGUGCGGCACCUGGAAAGGAGACAAGCUUUGUAGUGGUUGACAACAAGCACGAUAUUGCUAUGAGAAACACCAUUUUGACAACAAGCACGAUAUUUUGAUUGGUGCGGCACCUGGAAAGGGCAUAAAAUUGCUUGCCAACAGAUGAAAGUUUCUUCACCUGUUUGUGGAUCCAACAAAAGUGGAACCGCCUCCUUGGAGUCUCAUAAAGGUCACAGUGGUCUAAAGUUUUGUGUUCUUAUUACAACUUUUAUUUGCUUCUCAUUGAUAACGAAAUUAUUAGUCACUUUUAGAUGAAAUAUAAAAAUGAAAAGGCUUAUUAUAAUAUUGCUCAUUGCUCAUACAUAACAAUCUAAUCAAAUGAUUUGACUUGUGAGCUUUUAUAUUUGGUAUUGGAUGUCCUAGUUGCGAAGUAUUUUUGUAGUAAAAUUAGACAAAAUUUUUGUUCCCUAUGAACUAGAAAAGUAAAAGGUUUUCCACGGAAUAUGACAACUACAAUAUGAUUUUGAUAAUUUUGAUGUUGUACUUAAGGAUACUAGAACUCUUAAUUAGCCUCUUGAAUUGAUACUCAUAAAGGUGGCCCAAAAAAACUUAUGCUCCAAUAAUGCAGAGGUAGAUUAGGGGAAAAUCAUUGGCUUUUCUUUUAAUAAGAUGUGGUUGUACUUUUUCUGAGCUGGCAGAGGAAGGGAGUGAUGAAGUGUAUUGCCAAGUGUUGUUGGUUCCUAAAAGUGAGGUGAGGCUUAUCUAUGGUGUUAAUUUUACUUUGGUUCAGUUUGGGUUUGGGAGAAGCUUGCAGAAAAAUAUCUCAACCUAUCUAUGUCUUAAGGGUCAUAUAAAAUUUAACUAAACAGAUUUGUUUGAUUGAGCAAAACGUCAUGGCUCUGGAAACCAAAGUAGACUAAAAAUAUACUAUGUGGUUAACUAAGUUUUGUUUUCUUUCUAUAUCCAUGUUACUCGUCCUUUCCACAUGAUGUUAUCUGGGAGAAAUAGAUGCACAGAAAGCUCUCUUAUUGUUAUUUUUUAUUGUAGGAAUGAAAAGGAUAAGAAAUGGGGGGGGGGGGGGUAAGUGAUGAAGUGUCUUUAUUAGCUUAUUUUAGUUUUAAUUUGCUUGAACUUGGACUUGAUUAUGGCAAGUGGAGCAUAGCUUGCGGGAAGGGGAAAUUGUUGCUGAUGGGGAAGAGGAGGAUACUGGAGCUAUGGUGAAGUCAACAACUCCCCAUAUGUUCUGCAAGACUCUCACAACUUCAAACACUAGCACUCAUGGUGGAUUCUUAGUUCCCUAUCGAGCAGCUGAAGAUUGCUUUCCUCCCCUGGCAUCACCACUUUACUCACUAUUGCAGGCUAGGUUAAUUCGAUAGCAAGUGGCUUUAAAGAUCUAUCGUCUUUCAAGAACAGGAUUGUCCUUGUGCCAUAACCUUUUGCAAUAGAUUAUCCUUCAGUUAGGCUACAAAAUCAUCAAAGGAAAGAAGCCCCAAAGUCAUUGACCAUAGAUUACCUAGAAGUCCUAUUAUUAAGAUUUGAAGAAUCUAGCUUAUCAAAAGGAGCCUUUCAUCAUGGCAGAACAAACUAAACAAGUAUUUUAUGUUCAAGAUCCUUGUGAUGAAAGGUGGCCAGUGGUUCUAUACAGAAAAAUCAUUGGUGUUAAUCUUAAAGAUGAUGAUUCAACCCUUGAUUCUCGUCAUACUCCUUUCUCCACACACAUGCCUAACACCAAUGAAGAAGAAGUUGAUGACGUCCAUGCAAAUCAUAAUGAUCAUGAUGAAGGAGAAUUAAUUAAC